AGUUCCCUCCCCGUGUUGAUGCGUCUCUCGAAGACUCGCGUGGGUUCUCUGCCUCCGCCGCCCACCGCUCAACCGCCGAUGCACCACCGCUCAACCGCCGUAGCUCCUUAUAAAUGGCUCCCGCCUCGCAAGCUCGCUCCAAUGCCCAUGCCCAUCACGCAGCGCCCACACGCGCUAGUAGGUCCGGACGAGGUGAUGCUGGUGGUUUGCGAGGCACCCUCGGCGCGGCUUGGUUCACAGCGGACCGCGAAGCAGAGCUGUGCGGCGAUGGCGACGACCAGCACAGGGCACGCGUGACACCGCGACAACAACCACGUGGCCAUGGAGGGGCUCACGCAGCGCGCGGCGGUGCGCGGCUAGGCGGACCUCGCGCUGCGGCGGCGGCAGGUGCGUGCUAGCCAUGGCCAUGAGAGGGGAUUUGCGGCGUGACUGCGGCAUGAGGCAGCGGGGAUCUCCCAACCUCUCCUACCCCCCCUCCUGAUGUGGGAAACCAUGGAUUACCGGUUUUUUGCUGAAUCUUUAGUCGUGUAGAAACGGCGUCACGGCUGGGACGCGACGGUGCGGCCACCGGCGCCCUGCAUCCUCCACAGGUGUCGCAUGCUUAUGCCCCUGCCCCCUUCCUUCGGCCGUCCAGACCGCCUCCGUCUCAGCCGGUGGAUGUCCAUAUGCCGAAUAACGAGUGCGGCGGCGAUCACGGUCUGCCCCGCUCCGCCAGUCCUCCGUCACUUCUUCCGCUGGCUUACUACUACUCAUGCAGGUGGAGUUCAACAUGGAAGAGCUUGCCAUGGCCCAAGCAUCAUUCUGGGCGUAGCUGCCCACCUCCAUGUGACGAUUGCUCCAACGCAGACCAAGUGUUCGUCGUAAUGUCAGAGCGGCCACAGUGAUGAGGAUACAUCAGUUCGUGAUGAGCUUCGAUGUCUGUGUAGUGCCGGAAGAUGGCGACCAGUAGCGGGCGCUCGCGCACUGCUUCUGGGAUGACACAACCAAGACUAAUAAGGAUGAAGAUCAUGUUCAUAUUUCCAAUGGGUUCGUUCCAGUGGUAUGGACGCGGCGAGGCAAUUUAUUAAGUUUGCAGGAGCAGCCGCUGCGUACUAUCCCACACUCUCUGUCGACAGACCACCUUCUUCCACGCCGACGCCGGUCGCCGGGGUACGGUCCCAUCCAUCGCCAUGCAAGAGCGCUCUAAUCCCCUAGACAGUACUGCUCACAGCAGUUGCAGGCGCGGACGCAUUGCCCUCAGCCGUGGAUGCCGCUGUCCCGUACCAAGGAUGUGCAGGCAUGUUUUAGAUUAUGAUUGUGCAAAGGAAUAUGUUAGAAAAUGACGGUCUGCAAUGGUGUACCCAAAUACUGAACAUCUUCUGAUUUUACUGGAAGAUUGAUGUGGACAUUGAUGUUAUUGCACUGGCAGCUGAUUUUUUUCCCUUCACAUUUUUGAAGACUGGAUUUUCAGCAGCACUGCACUAUUAAUUAGCUUUCUGCAUGUGACUUGUGAUUGCAGCUGAUGAAGCCAUCAACCAUUGGAGGCACGGGAUUGUCGAGCCCAAGGUUCGUCACCCUUGUUUUCUAAAGGGAAGCUAAAGUUGGGGUUGCCAAUCUCCGAGGAUUUUCUCAACGGUUGAAAAGUUUGAUCACUGAGGAAUGGGGAUUACAGUCACAGAUCAUUCGGUUAUUUCUCUUGCUGGUGCCUCCGCUGAAAGUGAUGCAUCUAUAUACAACCAUAUAUAUAAGUUUGCCUGUUCAAUCAGAAGAUUGUAUUAGCUAUUAAGUCAUAGUUCAACCUUCGAAUAUACAGUUUUGGCUCAGUAGUUUGAGCCUCCGUUGCGCAACUGGAUCAUGGUAGACAUCCAGACCUGCAGCUGUGUUUUAUUUUGUUAUCCUUUUUAGAAACUGACACGCUGCCUUUGUUGCCUAAAUCCGUGCUUUAAUUAAAUGAUAAAUUUACUAUAAAGAUUUUUUCUUUGACUCUUAUAUGAAAAAAUUGUACGAACAUGUGAUCGCUAUCCAGAUUAGUCAGGUCAUCCUGCAAAUAACUGUGGGAUACAUUACUGACACUUACUCAAUCAUUGUAGUGAAAUAAUACAAGAUGGUGAACACCUCGGAUGCAGCUCAAAGAUCAAAUAUCAUGAUAUAGAGUAGGCAUUAAACCUACCUUAUCUACUUAAUUUUUUGUUGCAGACUAAUCAUCUAUCUUAUCUGUACAUGGCUGAUUAGGAAGUAGUACAGUACCCGCAAGUUUAAUAGUUAUCAGAUUGUUUCUGUACAUAGUUCAUUUGUGUACUAAGACGGGAGGCCAAGUUGUUCAAUUUGUGGAUUUGAUUUAUUCAGACUGGUGGCAUUCCUUAAUUUCUGAUUCCUGUUUAUGUUUGGUUUUGAGCUGGAAAUUAUUUAUUCUGGCACAUCUAACUGCUGCUUCUUUUGCCUAGCCUCCUUUCAAUGAAAUAUUUCCAGUCAGUAGACUAUACUUGCUAUUCCAAGCACAUAUAGGCCUAGGGUUGUCCACUAAGAGAAGGUGCAACAAAUUCACUUGGUUUGUGAAUAUCUUUGGGGUUUGUAUUAAUAUGAGCUAGCAACUUUUCAUAUAUAUGCCAGGUUGUCUUCAAGCCAUAGAAGCACCAUUGAGCCCUGGAGCUGUGGCGACAGCGCCGUACCAGCCACCGUCGUCCUCUUCCAUGCCCUGGCCAUCCAGGAGGAGUGCCACGGCUAUCGCAGUUCUCCCCAUGGCAUCCCGGAUGGCAUCCUCCGGGAUGUUGAUCGUGUCCUUGCACCGGCGGCAGCCGGAGCCUGGUACGUCCAGAGAGGCAUGGCCUUGGAUUGGAGCAUUGCAGGCAUCGAUCCACUUCGUGGUAGCCAUGGGGUAGGGUGGCGUAGAGCUCAGCCGCGUGAGCUGCAGUUCACCAGUUCAUUCCUCACCUGUAAGCCUAGCAAGAAGGAAAAUGGUUUGUGCUAUAUAUACGACUGAACUGGACAAUUGCAUAGAAUGUAGAUAUUUGCACAUCUGAUUUCUUUUGUGUAGUCUGGGUACUCUUCCCCAUGGUGUUAAAAAUAUAUAUGUUUGUGAGGUUGUAUGACUAACGUGAUUUUGUAACACACUAAGUUAACCCAAACUGGCUUGAAUUUGUUGGUUAUUUGGCCUUGCCUGAA